rnacentral:rRNA from 1 species
CGUACAGGUUUCCGUAGGUGAACCUGCGGAAGGAUCAUUAAAGAGUAAGGGUGCUCAGCGCCCGACCUCCAACCCUUUGUUGUUAAAACUACCUUGUUGCUUUGGCGGGACCGCUCGGUCUCGAGCCGCUGGGGAUUCGUCCCAGGCGAGCGCCCGCCAGAGUUAAACCAAACUCUUGUUAUUUAACCGGUCGUCUGAGUUAAAAUUUUGAAUAAAUCAAAACUUUCAACAACGGAUCUCUUGGUUCUCGCAUCGAUGAAGAACGCAGCGAAAUGCGAUAAGUAAUGUGAAUUGCAGAAUUCAGUGAAUCAUCGAAUCUUCGAACGCACAUUGCGCCCCUUGGUAUUCCGAGGGGCAUGCCUGUUCGAGCGUCAUUACACCACUCAAGCUAUGCUUGGUAUUGGGCGUCGUCCUUAGUUGGGCGCGCCUUAAAGACCUCGGCGAGGCCACUCCGGCUUUAGGCGUAGUAGAAUUUAUUCGAACGUCUGUCAAAGGAGAGGAACUCCGCCGACUGAAACCUUUAUUUUUCUAGGUUGACCUCGGAUCAGGUAGGGAUACCCGCUGAACUUAAGCAUAUCA